UUCAGCCAGGAGUAACUAAUAUCCUUUGUGGAGCCAACUCAUUAAAUGAAAAGGGUUCCACUAAUAUUUACAUUGUUGGAUGUGUAUCUGCAGUGAUGCAAGUGGUUGAGAAUAAUUUGCCAAUUGUAGGAGGUAUUAUAAUCGGCUUUGCUGUACCUCAGAUUAUGGGAAUAGUGCUGUCACGUACACUGGAUGGUCAGAUAUCAGAUCAGUUGGCUAGGUGGAGACGAUACCAUCAAGACAGAUGAGUAAUAAGAAGGCCAUAAAGACAUUAUGUCCAAAGUCAAGUUUUGCAAUAAGACUCAAUAAUGGAGUACAUCAUGGAAAUCCAUUUAUUUUCUUUCGCUAGUCAUUGUCUGUCUGGUCAUGUACUUAAAUUAUUUCAUUCUUUUAUUUUGAUGGCUAAAUAGCUCUGUCAUCUAAAUCAUUGUUUUUACAUCUCUGACAUUACUUUUUAACAAUGAUUGUACGCUUGUCUACAAUCAUUACCCAGCCUGAUCAAUGUUAUAUUAGUGUGUCUGUGUCUUUUGUUAUUGUGUUUGUGUAUGGAUCCUUUGUAAUACUGAUCAAACUGAAAGUUCUGUUAUGCACAAUCCUCUCAACAUUGUCCAAGUUGUUACUGCGGUUUUUACAUUGUCAUUUAAAUAGUCAUCUGUUGUCUCCUUUUUGAUUUCCAGUUGAGGUCAAAUUAAGGACAUCUGUCUUCCUGCAUUUGAAGAGCAUGACACAUCCACCUAACUUGUUUCUUUUUAAAUACUGUCAAUCAUUGACAGCAGAUCACAGAUUGUUGCGGUAGGACAUUGUUCAGGUUAGAAUUAUUCUCAGGCAGUUAGGUUGGAGCACUUUGGAUUGAUAUCUUUUUGUUCCACACUUCUCUGGAAUUAGGAUCUGUACAAAAUUCUUUCUUUGUUUUAUGGCAGAGAGGAUUAUUUUAGUGUUCCAAAUAUUUGUUUAUUUGUUCAGAAUGUGGCGGUAGCCCACCUAGUUUGUCUCUGGAACAUUUUAGCAGUCUUUUCAUUUCUUUGCUGCUGUUAUGCCUAAGUUUAUAUACUUAACCAAUUAGCUGUCCAUCCUAUUAGUUCAAAGACUGUUCCUCUGCAGAGACUUUAUAUUUUCACUGACCAAAUAAUUUUGUUUUGUGAAAAAAACAAGCAAUCUUUUGAGCUAUUUUUAUUUUGAUUUGAACUAAAUGCUUUAUCUAUGCAAGGCUGUAUACACAAUUCUGGCAACUAUGGUACCAUAAGCAUUUAUUAGCAGUUGUAUGCGUCUUCAUUUGCUGUAACAUGUACAUUGUUGACUUUUUGUCUAUGCAGUUUCAGGAGGAGUCUUAAGUUUCAGAUAAAUGUUUUGCUAAUGACUACAUAGUUGACAAAAUAUUAGCCAUGACAAAUAUUUAAGGCAAGAGUUGAGAGUUAACUUUAAAAAAAAUUGUCUUCUAUGUGAAUUAUCGAUUAUCGUCUUGCUCAUUAAGAUGAUGUUAAAUGUUUGAUACUGUGGAUUUUAACAUUUUUUUUUAAAAUUACAAAUUCCUUAGAACAAAAUGUUGUCUACAUAGUCUCACAUAGUACAUAGUAUUUACUAUUCAUUUUGUUUCUGUUCACUGAUAUACUUUUUUUCAUAUCAAUAUUCAGUGGCACAAGGGGGGGGGGGUUGAAUCAAUGAAGACAUGGAUAUAACUAAGAUAAAAAUAGUUUCUACUUAUAUAUUCUCAUGACGUAAGUCUAUUUUAUCCUUCUUAAUGUGAUGUGCAGUUUUUUUUUGCUUUUUCAAUUUUUAUAAUUUGUUUUUUUUUUUUUUUUUGUUAAAUGGGGUUUGUUUAUGUCAUUGACUGUUGUGAUAACUUUUGUUUAUUGGCCAGAGCAUAUAUUUAUGUCAACAGCGCAGCACAUUUUGUAUUUAAUUUUGUGUGUGUGUGUGUACAGCAAUAACUUUAUUAUCUAUUUAGUUGGAGACUAUAUUUAUUCUUGUUCUUGGGUUUCUGAUUACUUUAAAUAAGCUAUUUUCUUAAAAGGUUGUCUUUUUUACCUAAAAAUAUCAAAUGUCAUUUUAUACAUAAUAUAAUUCAAAAUUAUGUAAGAAAGAAAUAAAGUGACACAUUCUAAUGUUUUGCACUGUACCAAUCGUUUUGAAACAAGUUUAUGAAGAAAAGAACAAAAGAAACAUCAUUAUUAAAAAGAUUCAUUAUUUUAAGAUAUUUGAUUUAGAACUAGUGUUUCUUAUCAAUACGUCUUGGUGAACAAAUGGUUACUUCCUUCUAGUAUAUAUACUAUAUAUAUAUUAUUAUAUCUGUAAUUAUUUUUGUUUAAAUAUCAAUAUCGCACAUUUUAAAAAUAUUAUAUUGUUUUAAAAGUGAAUAUUAAAGUGAAUAUAAUCACCUGAACAUUCAAUUGAAAUUCCAUUUGGUUUCAACUAUGGAUAUAUUUGGUAUCAUGCUGUAUCAUGGGGACAUGGUGAAACCAAAAGAUUGUCUCUAUUUAAGACCUGGGCUUCACAUAAUUUAAUUUGUGUCUGACAUAUUAUGAGGAAAGUAAAGGUGGGUGACAUGUGUUGUCCACAACACCAUUUUGAAAUGGUAGGAUAAUUUUACCUCAUCUGUCCCAGAGUUCUAAGACGGCAAAAAGGUUUUUGUGUGUUUGAUGGAUUGACUCAAGUUUUGUUGGAUUCCAGUUGUUUUUUUUAAACCUGAUCAGACCUGCUCAUUGUAUUGUAAAAAAAAAAUAUAACUGUAGUAAGUUAAUGUUGCUGACAAAAUGUACUUCAAAGAUCUCUUAACUCUAAUUUGAUAUAACAUUUAUAUAUUAUACAUAUAUAUAUGUGUGUAGUUUCAUGUAUUUUCUAAAUUGUAUGUGAUCUCCUUGGCCCUGCUUUCGUUGGUAGCCUUGGGGAUUUGUUUUGAUAACUUUUUUUUCAAGUUGGCUUUCAUAUGAAUGUAAAUGAACAAAAAAAUGUAAUAACAUAAAAUUUAUUUUUUUUUUUAAACUCAAAAAACAAUCCCCAUGCAUUUCAUAAAGCAUGCUUUCGAUUGGAGGGCAAGGUGAACAUUGAUCUUGUUAUGUAGAAACUUUUUACCAUAUCUGUUACGCAGGAAUCGAUUCACUUUGAUAUAGUCAGAAACUCUAGCACCUUUUUUUUUUAAAGAAAAAAACUAAACUUUUUUUUUUCACUAACCUCACCGGUGCAGGUGUAAUUACAACAAGAAUACCUUGCCAUACACUAUGAGUGCCUUGUCCUAUAUAUACAUUCUCUUUUUACGCAGACAGCAUUUUUCUUUAAUCUUUUAAGAAUCAAAAACUUCUGAGAAUUAAAAAAAAAAGAAAAGUUGCUCUAUAAAUAAUUAAAAAGUUGCUUUUUUUAAAGACAAUUGUUUAAAGUUAAUGCAGAGUAAUGUUUCUUUUUUAUUUAUUUAUUUGAGAUCUUCUGUACAUAUUUUGUACAGUGAAAGAGUAGAAUUUCUAGAUCAUACAAAAAAAUUGCUGGUAAAUAAUAAAUAAAACAAAAUAUGCGAGACAUACAUAUACGUGUAUAUAACUUCAGGUUUUCAACAUCCAUUAAACUUGUAAUAUAAAUUUAGCAAUAAAAAAUGUUGAAUUUAUAUUUUAUGCUGUCAUUAUGCUUUGUCUGUGCAUCUCAAUACUACAUGUUUAAGUAACAAACACAGUAUUAAAGCCAUUCCAAAGUUUGUCUAUCGUACAGCAUCCUUGUUCAUUGCGCUGCAUUAAUUAUUUGCUACCAUAAUUCUGAAUGCUGGAGGAAGUACAAUCUUGUUUAUAUUUAGAAAUUGAUAUCAAUGAUUCUAUGAUCAUUCCAUUCAUAAACAUGCUUAUUUUUAGAACUACUUUGACAUUGUUUUUCAAUUAAUGCUUACAAAGAUACAAAGUUUUGGCAUGUGUAAAUUGAUAUGCACAUUGCAACUGUUGUAAUGAACUAAUAAAUAUAUUUUGGAUGUAGAAAUGUGCAUGCAGUUUUUUAAAAUCAAAUUGUAUCAUUUGCAUAUGUGACGAGGCCACACAGAAUAGUACAGAAACCAGUUUUGGGUGUUUAUAUUUUAUUAUAGUCAUUUACAUUUUCAUAAGACAUGGUAAAGAAAAACAUUUUUCAAAGAUAACCUUGUUUUAAAUGUUUUUAAUUAUCAAGUUCAUGUAAUUUUGGACUAACUAGUCAAAUUUUUUUUUGACCAAUGGGUCAGCCUGACCAGAACUUUACCAUUGUUUUUGUUUGACUUUUGCAUGCAUGGUUCCUUGCAACUUUGUAAUUAUUAGUAAAUGUACAUUAUUUCACAAAUAAACUAAUAGGAAAAACAAUACAAAAACAUGUAACCUAAGUUUAUAAAGUGCUUUUAUUUUAUUCGUAUGGAGAUUCCCCUCUCCAGAUUGUGAUGAGGUCAACUCUAUGAUCCUGUGCAUGUUUCAACAAAUUUGAUCUGAUUUUUUUUUAUGGCGAAUCCUCUCAAAAUGACUUUUUCAUUCUUGAUUUUUUUUUCUUGUUUCUUACAAAAAAAAAAAUAUCAAUAAAAUAUUUUAAUAUUA
rnacentral:sRNA from 1 species